rnacentral:lncRNA from 1 species
UUCAUAGAGCCCGGUUAUAAAUAUAAGCAGUGACAUCUUACAGCAGGGUGUAGGGGGAACAUCCUGGGUAAUUAAUUUGAGCUGACAGUCAGUAUCACGAGACACAUGAUAUCUGCUACAGUGACAGCGUUAUCUGUGGGAGAGGAGGGUCAGUUUCCAUUCAGAAACACUAUUUUCCAGAGAUUUGGAACCUGACACAAUAAUUGGCAUUAAAAAGUUUUCCAUUCAGUAACAUAAUUUCCCCUUGAAGAACUGAUGACCAAAACCGAGAUGGCUAUUUUAGGAUAGCUGAAGACGGAAAACAGAGGGGAAAAAAACACCCAUUAUAGUACUAUCAGAGGUUCAAUUGCUUUCCAUUAGCGAAGGCAGCUGCAGACUGCUGAAAACAACAAAUGCUUCAGAGCUGUAGUUUUCCUGCCUUCCAGGACCUAUUCUGCUGUGGCCAAAAAUGUACUGAGCUGCCAGCACAACAGUAGAACAUUCCCUCAACUUGUUACAUGAGAAAUUGCUAGUUAAUCUGAGCAAGCUGGAGAUGAAAGCAAAGCAUUAAAUGACUGAGGAACUGACUGACAGAGAGAUGGCAAUGGAUUAGAGGAAGUUACUCAAGGGUCUGAUCCUGUAUCGGAACUUCUAUUGGCCUUGCUGUGCAGACCUUGCCUUGCUGUGCAGACCUUGCCUUGCUGUGCAGUUGGAAGGCAGCUCUGGCAUUUUUCUGAAAAGCACUGGGAGGCAUCAACCACAGACAGCGGAGAAAGGUGCUCACUCCAAAGCAGUCCAUCAGGAGGACAAUGCUGGAUCACGUUAAUCUCUUCAUAAUGAGUGGGAGCACAGAAGCCAGAAGAAAACUGGACUGAAGAAGCAUCCCAUGCCCUUACUUUCCCAAAUUAAAUAAACUCGAUGUUUAUAUAUGGAGCA